UCCGGUGGUUCCGCAUGGAAGGGCCAUCGCUCAACGGAUAAAAGCUACCCCGGGGAUAACAGGCUUAUCUCCCCCAAGAGUCCACAUCGACGGGGAGGUUUGGCACCUCGAUGUCGGCUCAUCGCAUCCUGGGGCUGUAGUCGGUCCCAAGGGUUGGGCUGUUCGCCCAUUAAAGCGGUACGCGAGCUGGGUUCAGAACGUCGUGAGACAGUUCGGUCCCUAUCCGUCGUGGGCGUAGGAAAUUUGAGAGGAGCUGUCCUUAGUACGAGAGGACCGGGAUGGACGCACCGCUGGUGUACCAGUUGUUCUGCCAAGGGCAUAGCUGGGUAGCUAUGUGCGGAAGGGAUAAGUGCUGAAAGCAUCUAAGCAUGAAGCCCCCCUCAAGAUGAGAUUUCCCAUAGCGUAAGCUAGUAAGAUCCCUGAAAGAUGAUCAGGUUGAUAGGUUCGAGGUGGAAGCAUGGUGACAUGUGGAGCUGACGAAUACUAAUAGAUCGAGGACUUAACCAUAUAA
rnacentral:rRNA from 1 species